CCUACGGGGGGCAGCAGUGAGGAAUAUUGGUCAAUGGCCGCGAGGCUGAACCAGCCAAGUCGCGUGAGGGAAGAAUGUCCUAUGGAUUGUAAACCUCUUUUGUCAGGGAGCAAAGUCACCCACGUGUGGGUGUUGGAGAGUACCUGACGAAAAAGCAUCGGCUAACUCCGUGCCAGCAGCCGCGGUAAUACGGAGGAUGCAAGCGUUAUCCGGAUUUAUUGGGUUUAAAGGGUGCGUAGGCGGGGUAUAAAGUCAGAGGUAAAAUCGUGGAGCUCAACUCCGUACUGCCGUUGAACCUGAUGAGCUUGAGUGGACGAGAAGUAUGCGGAAUGCGUGGUGUAGCGGUGAAAUGCAUAGAGAUCACACAGAACACCGAUUGCGAAGGCAGCAUACC
rnacentral:rRNA from 1 species